rnacentral:rRNA from 1 species
UGCCUAACCAUGCAAGUCGAACGGUCACUUCGGUGAUAGUGGCGGACGGGUGAGUAAUACGUAGAUAAUCUGCCCUAAAGUGGGGGAUAACUAAUCGAAAGAUUAGCUAAUACCGCAUAAUGUGGAUGGUUGAGAUACUAUCCAAUAAAGGAGUAAUCCGCUUAUGGAGGAGUCUAUGGCUGAUUAGCUAGUUGGUGGGGUAAAGGCUUACCAAGGCGAUGAUCGGUAGCUGGUCUGAGAGGACGAUCAGCCACACUGGGACUGAGACACGGCCCAGACUUCUACGGAAGGCAGCAGUGGGGAAUUUUCCGCAAUGGGCGAAAGCCUGACGGAGCGACACCGCGUGGAGGAUGAAGUUUUUCGGAAUGUAAACUCCUUUCGACAGGGACGAAAAAAAUGACGGUACCUGUAUAAGAAGCAUCGGCUAACUACGUGCCAGCAGCCGCGGUAAUACGUAGGAUGCAAGCGUUGUUCGGAAUUACUGGGCGUAAAGAGUACGUAGGCGGUUUACUAAGUCUUUUAUUAAAGACCGAAGCUCAACUUCGGGAAUGUAAAGGAAACUGGUAGACUAGAGGUCAGAAGGGGAAAUCGGAAUUCUUAGUGUAGCGGUGAAAUGCGUAGAUAUUAGGAAGAACACCAGUGGCGAAAGCGGAUUUCUGGUCUGAAACUGACGCUGAGGUACGAAGGCGUGGGGAGCAAACGGGAUUAGAUACCCCGGUAGUCCACGCGGUAAACGAUGGAUACUAUGUGUAAUGGGAAUCGACCCCUGUUGUGCCGAAGCUAACGCGAUAAGUAUCCCGCCUGGGGAGUAUGGGCCGCAUGUUGAAACUCAAAGGAAUUGACGGGGGCCCG